GCCGAAGUGGCGGAAUGGAAUACGCGGUGGUCUCAAAAACCAUUGGGGGCAACCCCGUGUGGGUUCGAAUCCCACCUUCGGCA
rnacentral:tRNA from 1 species